AGAGUUUGAUCCUGGCUCAGAUUGAACGCUGGCGGCAUGCCUUACACAUGCAAGUCGAACGGCAGCACGGGAGCUUGCUCCUGGUGGCGAGUGGCGAACGGGUGAGUAAUAUAUCGGAACGUACCCUAGAGUGGGGGAUAACGCAGCGAAAGUUGCGCUAAUACCGCAUACGAUCUACGAAUGAAAGUGGGGGAUCGCAAGACCUCAUGCUCAUGGAGCGGCCGAUAUCUGAUUAGCUAGUUGGUGGGGUAAAGGCCUACCAAGGCAUCGAUCAGUAGCUGGUCUGAGAGGACGACCAGCCACACUGGAACUGAGACACGGUCCAGACUCCUACGGGAGGCAGCAGUGGGGAAUUUUGGACAAUGGGGGCAACCCUGAUCCAGCAAUGCCGCGUGAGUGAAGAAGGCCUUCGGGUUGUAAAGCUCUUUUGUCAGGGAAGAAACGGUGAGGGCUAAUAUCCUUUGCUAAUGACGGUACCUGAAGAAUAAGCACCGGCUAACUACGUGCCAGCAGCCGCGGUAAUACGUAGGGUGCAAGCGUUAAUCGGAAUUACUGGGCGUAAAGCGUGCGCAGGCGGUUAUGUAAGUCAGAUGUGAAAUCCCCGGGCUCAACCUGGGAAUGGCAUUUGAGACUGCAUGGCUAGAGUGUGUCAGAGGGGGGUAGAAUUCCACGUGUAGCAGUGAAAUGCGUAGAGAUGUGGAGGAAUACCGAUGGCGAAGGCAGCCCCCUGGGAUAACACUGACGCUCAUGCACGAAAGCGUGGGGAGCAAACGGGAUUAGAUACCCUGGUAGUCCACGCCCUAAACCUAUAUGGUAGUUGUCGGGACUUAAUUGUCUUGGUAACGCAGCUAACGCGUGAAGUAGACCGCCUGGGGAGUACGGUCGCAAGAUUAAAACUCAAAGGAAUUGACGGGGACCCGCACAAGCGGUGGAUGAUGUG
rnacentral:rRNA from 1 species